rnacentral:rRNA from 1 species
CCCUUAGAUGUCCUGGGCCGCACGCGCGUUACACUGAUGCAUUCAACGAGCUUAUAACCUUGGCCGAGAGGCCUGGGCAAUCUUGUUAACGUGCAUCGUGAUAGGGAUAGAUUAUUGAAAUUAUUAAUCUUGAACGAGGAAUUCCUAGUAAACGCAGAUCAUCAAUCUGCAUUGAUUACGUCCCUGCCCUUUGUACACACCGCCCGUCGCACCUACCGAUUGGAAGGUCCGGUGAAGCCUCGGGAUUGUGGUUCUUGCCGCUUUAUUGUGGCGUGACCGCGAGAACUUGUCUAAACCUUAUCAUCUAGAGGAAGGUGAAGUCGUAACA